AUUGAACGCUGGCGGCAUGCCUUACACAUGCAAGUCGAACGGUAACGCGGGGCAACCUGGCGACGAGUGGCGAACGGGUGAGUAAUGCAUCGGAACGUGCCCAGAAGUGGGGGAUAGCCCGGCGAAAGCCGGAUUAAUACCGCAUGAGACCUGAGGGUGAAAGCGGGGGAUCGCAAGACCUCGCGCUUUUGGAGCGGCCGAUGUCAGAUUAGCUAGUUGGUGGGGUAAAGGCCUACCAAGGCGACGACCUGUAGCUGGUCUGAGAGGACGACCAGCCACACUGGGACUGAGACACGGCCCAGACUCCUACGGGAGGCAGCAGUGGGGAAUUUUGGACAAUGGGCGCAAGCCUGAUCCAGCCAUGCCGCGUGCGGGAAGAAGGCCUUCGGGUUGUAAACCGCUUUUGUCAGGGAAGAAACGCUCUGGGCUAAUACCCUGGGGUAAUGACGGUACCUGAAGAAUAAGCACCGGCUAACUACGUG
rnacentral:rRNA from 1 species